CCUACGGGUGGCAGCAGUUAGGAAUAUUGGGCAAUGGAGGAAACUCUGACCCAGCAACGCCGCGUGAAGGAAGAAGGUUUUCGGAUUGUAAACUUCUGAUCUGUGGGACGAAGAAAGUGACGGUACCACAGGAGAAAGCCACGGCUAACUACGUGCCAGCAGCCGCGGUAAUACGUAGGUGGCGAGCGUUGUCCGGAAUAACUGGGCGUAAAGGGAGCGUAGGUGGUUGAUUAAGUUAAAUGUGAAAGCCCAGGGCUCAACUCUGGAACUGCUCUUGGAACUGCAUGGCUGGAGUACAGGAGGGGCAGGCGGAAUGCCUAGUGUAGCGGUGAAAUGCGUAGAUAUUAGGAGGAACACCGGUGGCGAAGGUGGCCUGCUGGACUGUGACUGACGUUGAGGCCCGAAGGCGUGGGGAGCAAACAGGAUUAGAUACCCUGGUAGUC
rnacentral:rRNA from 1 species